rnacentral:misc_RNA from 1 species
UACGGAGGGGGCUAGCGUUAAUCGGAAUCACUGGGCUUAAAGCGUACGUAGGCGGUUUUUCAAGUCAGAAGUGAAAGCCCAGGGCUUAACCCUGGAACUGCUUUUGAAACUGGAUAACUAGAGUCCCAGAGAGGUUGGCGGAAUUCCGAGUGUAGAGGUGAAAUUCGCAGAUAUUCGGAGGAACACCAGUGGCGUAGGCGGCCAACUGGACGGGUACUGACGCUGAGGUACGAAAGCGUGGGGAGCAAACAGG